AUGCAUAUAUGUAUGUACAUUUACAGCUAUACACGCAGUGUUCCUACAGUGUUAUAUACUCGCAUAUUUAGCAAUAAAUAUAUAUUAUUGUUGUAUUAUGAUAACCCUCUUGUCACUACAGUAUGAACAGAUUAACAACACAAAUAAUGAUAAAUCUUUGCGUUAUAUUUGAGCGAAUAGUGUUAACAAUUAUAUUCGCUGGGUCAGUAUAUUUUUUUGUAGAUUUUAUGACUAUAUACGAUGUGACCAUUAGUUAUAAAAGCUUUUUUUGUCUUUUAAUAGUAUACACAAUAGCAUAUUUAUUAUCAAUGCUAAGGGAAAUAUUAAAUUCUAUAAAUUAUAGCGUAUUUCAGAAAAUAAAAAAAAAAAAUAUAUCUUCUUACGCUUUAAAAAAAAAUAUUGCAAAAAAAAAAGAUAACAACAAAUAUUUGAAGAUCGACAGUUUAAUAGAUACAAAUACUGUAUUUAUGAACCAAAAUUUUAACAUAAAUUAUAAAGAUGUUUACACUUAUGAUAUGGGAAAAAACGAAGACGAUGGUUUAGUUGCUAAAAAUGAAGGAGGAACAAAAAGGAUACUAGAACAUGAGCAAAUGCAAAACCAUGUGAUAGGAGAAAAAGAGACGCACUUAAGAAUACAUAAAGAUAGUAAAAAAAUAACUAGUAACACAUCAAACCAUUUAUUAGAAAACAAAAACAAAAACAAACAAACAAAUGAUAAGGAAAGUACUGAAAAACAAAGGUACAUGCUAGAUAAUAAAGAUGAUGAACAAACCGACUUCUUUUUGAAGUAUAAACGAAGAUUAUUAAAAAAAGAAAACAAGAUAAUAAAAUACAUUGAAAUGGAUGGUAUGGUGGAUUUGCAAGAAGAAGAUAGUGUACAUGAAAAAGAACAAAAAUGUAUAUCUGCAAGAAGUAAAUGUUUUUACGAAUAUAAGGAAAAAUUAAUAGAAACACAAAACAGAGUGGAUGAGAAAAAAAAAAAAGAUGGUAAACUAAAAUCAUUUGCACAUAAUACGAAAGAUUUAAAGAUGAAAAAUGAUUCUUAUAUAGGAGGGAACACUGAAUUUGCGGAUCUCCCAAAUGGUGGUGAUAGGCCAAGUGGUGAUAACCCAAGUGGUGAUAACCCAAGUGGUGAUAACCCAAGUAGUGAUAACCCAAAUGGUAAAAAAAAAUACCACUGCAUAACAUUAAAUAAUAUAUAUCGAAAAAAUAAGGACAUGAAGAAAGGAGAAACAGGGGUAUCUUUGAAAGAGUUUUCGGGUAUAAACAAAUAUCAAGUUCAUAGUUAUUAUGAGAAAAAGAGGAAUAUAAAAAGAGAUGCAGAAUUUGCUCGAUUGUAUAUUCUAUUUUUAAAAUUUAUUAUUAAGGUGAAAGUGAUAUUUUUAAAUUUUUGUAUAAAUAAUCCAUUUUUAAUUGUGGAUUUGAUAAUAACAACAUUAUUAAAUAUAGCAUGGUUAAAUGUACAUUGGUAUUUUGUUCGUUAUAAGAAUAAAAAAAAUUCAGGUAUGUUUAAUUGGAAUACUAAUUAUAUACCUAAGUCAUAUAUAACGAUAGAAGGAUAUUUACAAUAUAUGAUAAUUUAUGACUUGUGCAUACAUUUUUUACUGUUUUUAACAACUAAAAGGAUAAUAAGUUUAUGGUUUUUGGUUAAUUUAUUAAAUACACCAUUUCUAUAUAUAAUAAUUUCGAUUACAACUAAAGAAAAUUACCGAAGAUAUGGUUGGUUGUUUUUAUCUAGCCCUUUUCGCUUUUCAAAUUUUUUAAGAAUCGAAAAUUUUUUUGUUCAUAAUUAUAAUUAUACAAAGUUAAAUAACCCAAUUAUUAAUUUAUCUUUAAAAAUAAUAGUGGUAAUAUAUACUUAUGCUUGUAUUAAUUUUUUGAUUGAGCAACCUUGCAGAGGUAAUUAUGAAUUAUAUGAUUAUAUAUUCUCUAGUAUGCAAACAGUAACAACUGCUGCAUUAGGAAAAGGUACGUGUUUUCCUUUUUCUCUAGAAUCUAAAAUCGUUCAUACGUUUUAUAUUUUUAUGGCAUUCACAUAUAUACAUUAUAAAAUACGCUAUUUAAAAAAUCACAUGAUAGAAACCAAACAGUUAUAUGGUAACAUACCAAAUAUUAGUUCUCGCUAUUUCGUUAUUAUAGGACAUAUAAAUCCAAUCGCUUUAUAUGUUAUUAUUAAUGAAUUAUUAUCAGCUUAUGUAAAAUUAGAUGAAAUAAUUAUUUUAACAAGCUUAUCAGCUAAAUUCUAUUUAAACAUUGUUCGUUUUUUAAACAUAAAAGGACCUUGUAAAAUUAAUCUUAUUCUAUACGACAUAAAUAAACCAUUCCCUUUAAAAAUAAAAACAAUUAUAUUAUAUAGCAAUGGCAUAUUAAUAUGUAACAACAUAAUUAACACACAUCAUAAUAUCCAUAAUGACAUGGAAACAAUCAAAAGAUAUAACGAAGUAACAUUAUUAGGUCCAUCAAAUAAAUAUAUAUCUAUUUUUUUAAAUAACAUGUGUAAUAAUAAUUUAUUAUUAAAACGAAAGUAUACUAAUAUUAUUUGUAUACAUGAUUUGAAAAUGAAACUCUUUGCCAAAACGGUAGAUAACUGUCCGGGCAUGUUUUUAUUAACACUUUUUUUAUUUAUUAAUGUUCCGCAAAAAAUUAAAUAUAAAUAUUCUUACCUCUUAAGUAGGUAUUUUAAUAAUAUAAAAUAUGUUUUACAAUCACAUAUACAGAACACAAAUAUGUAUAAGUAUUACUACACACACUAUAAUGGCGAACAAACAAAGAAGAAUAUAACUAACCCCUCAACAAAGAAUCACAAACAGAAAAAACAUUGGUCAUCUAGCUCCAGCAAACAAAAAAGUCAAACUAAUUUGAAUUCCAAAUGGUUAUCCUUUUUUAAACUCAAAAAAAAUAAAGUAUACUCCAAACAGCCAUAUUUUGAAAAAAAAAAAAAUAAUAAUUAUGAAAAAGGAAAGAACUACAUAUCAUAUAAUCAAACAAAAACGGGUGAUAAAAACUCCUGCACUAUUAGUCUAAAUGGAAAUGUAUUUGUUCCUGGUAUCGCAGGAGACCAUAGUGGUGUUACAACCGCUGGUUCGGGUGUCCCCACAACCACUAAUACAACUGCUACUACAAGAAGAUGUAAUGCCCAUUACAAUAUUAUUAAUGGCAGUAUUAAUGGCAUUAUUAAUGAUAAUGGGUGUGACAAUGGAUGUGAUAAUGUAGAUGACUCUUAUAAGAUAGAACCACCAAAGAAGAACAAAAACAAUAAAAUGUCACCGCAUGAAAGCUUUUUUUUAAAAAAAAAAAAAGAAAAAAAAAAGUUGUAUAAAAAAUAUAUAUCAUCCUAUUACUUUUAUAAAAUGCUUUGCUACAGUUAUUACAACAACUAUUUAAAUUAUAUAAAAGGAAUAAAAUAUAACAUAUAUAAAAUCAAAUUACCAACUAGUUUUUUAAAUAUGCAUUUUAUUACUAUUGUUCAAUAUAUGUAUAUGCAUUAUAAUGCUUUUAUUAUUGGUAUCAUAAAUCAAUAUGAUGAAAUAAAAUUAAACCCAUUAAAUUUUGUUUACAUUUGUAUAGAUACUUAUUUUAUUUUAUUAACAGAUAAAUAUAAUAUAUUGCAGAAAAUUCAAAACAUAGAAAAAAUUAAACUAGAUUGGAUAAACAAUAUCACUGAGAUCAACAUCAAAAAAAUAUACAGUAAAGAUGAUACUGUAGGUGAAUACGCGAGUGCGAGAAAUGGUGCCAGUACGAAUCAAAGUGGAAACAGUAGCAGUAGUGGUAGUGGUAGUAGCAAAAAUGGUAGUAACAAAAAUGGUAGUAGCAGUAACGGUAGUAGCAAAAAUGGCAGUAGCAAAAACGGUAGUAGCAGUGACAAUAGCUGUAAUAGUACUAAUUAUAAUGCUCACCAAGAGCUUAAUAAACUAUUAGAGAAAAAUAAAAACAUAACUUUUAAUCCAGUCUUGAAUAUAUUCAGAGUAGAUAACUAUUUACAAGCAAUGCAAAUUUUUAAAUUAAAAAAUAAAACCGUUCACAUUAAUUGGGAGAGAGAAAAGCCACGAAGUCAUAAUAUGGGUUACCUUCAAAACCUACUACACCUUACGGAUAAUAAUAACAUCAGGUUUCUAAAUUUGAAUCAUGUAGAUAACAAGGAUGGUAAACCAAAUCGCUUUAGUGAAUGGGAUAAACAGAGAUGUAAACAAAAAAUAUAUGCUACUGAAGAUAAGGAAGGAAAGGAUGAUAUAGUAUUUGAUAAAAGAAAUAAAAAAAAGACAAAACGAAAGAGAAAUAACAGCAACAAGUUUAUAUUAAUGAUUCAUUGGC
ensembl:lncRNA